rnacentral:rRNA from 1 species
AGUGGGGAAUAUUGCGCAAUGGCCGAAAGGCUGACGCAGCGACGCCGCGUGGGGGAUGAAGCAUUUCGGUGUGUAAACCCCUGUUGCCCGGGACGAACAACUGGAUUCUUCCAGUCUGACGGUACCGGGUGAGGAAGCACCGGCUAACUCCGUGCCAGCAGCCGCGGUAAUACGGAGGGUGCGAGCGUUGUCCGGAAUCACUGGGCGUAAAGGGCGCGUAGGCGGUCUGCUAAGCGUGCGGUGAAAGCCCGGGGCUCAACCCCGGGUCUGCCGUGCGAACUGGUGGACUAGAGCACUGUAGAGGCGAGUGGAAUUCCGGGUGUAGCGGUGGAAUGCGUAGAGAUCCGGAAGAACACCGGUGGCGAAGGCGGCUCGCUGGGCAGUAGCUGACGCUGAGGCGCGAUAGCGUGGGGAGCAAA